GUACGGAGGGUGCAAGCGUUACUCGGAAUCACUGGGCGUAAAGCGCGCGCAGGCGGCUUGAUAAGUUGGAUGUGAAAGCCUACGGCUCAACCGUAGAACUGCAUCCAAAACUGUCAAGCUAGAGUCUGGGAGGGGAAGAUGGAAUUAGUUGUGUAGGGGUAAAACCCGUAGAGAUAACUAGGAAUACCAAAAGCGAAGGCGAUCUUCUGGAACAGUACUGACGCCGAGGCGCGAAAGCGUGGGGAGCAAACAGGAUUAGAUACCCCAGUAGUCC
rnacentral:rRNA from 1 species